UACAGAGGAUGCAAGCGUUAUCCGGAAUGAUUGGGCGUAAAGCGUCUGUAGGUGGCUUUUUAAGUCCGCCGUCAAAUCCCAGGGCUCAACUCUGGACAGGCGGUGGAAACUACCAAGCUGGAGUACGGUAGGGGCAGAGGGAAUUUCCGGUGGAGCGGUGAAAUGCGCAGAUAUCGGGAGGAACACCAGUAGCGAAGGCGGCACUCUGGGCCGGAACUGACGCUGAGGAGCGAAAGCGUGGGGAGCGAACAGG
rnacentral:rRNA from 1 species